ensembl:lncRNA
AUGGACGCUGAGUCAUCUGAAGGGGAGAUGGGAGGAAAUUGGCACUGCUUCUAUCCUUGCCCCCAGCCCCGCCUCAAUUCUUGCUCAUUCCCAGGGUGGGCUUGCUGGGCACUGGGCAGGUCCCCUCCCUGUCAGCCUCUCCCACAGCAGCUCCCUGUACAACCAGUCUCUGUGAUUCCCCUUAACAGCUGCAGAAGAGUAUUUUUGCCAAGUGGACUCUUGGUGGUCUGUGCCCCUGCCUCUUUGCUAACCUCUUGGGACAUUUUGUAAUGUUUUCUCUGUUUUGUAACCUUCUGACUCUGCCAAAAUGGUUUCUGCAGCUACCUUUGGAAAUAAAUGGUCAUUAAUUUAUGUACUUAGCAUCAUGUAUUUUAGUCUGACAUGUGUCUGAGUUCAAAGAUCUCUGAAUGUAAAGGGACCUUCACCAUGGAACUUACUGUUAAACGUUACCUUCAUUUACUGUUAUGUAUGAGAAAAAAAAAAAAAAUAGACAUCAUCUUGCCAUUCCNUACUGUUAAACGUUACCUUCAUUUACUGUUAUGUAUGAGAAAAAAAAAAUAGACAUCAUCUUGCCAUUCCACAGUGGAAUCUUUAUAUUUCCAAGAAUACAUGUAGAGAAGAAAAUAAAGACGAAUAUUUUCUAUUCUUGGUAUCUCUCCCACUAUCUGAAAAAAAAAAACACAAAAACAAAAACGGGAAACUACGAAUUGUUGUUUCUCUAAUUACAAUGGACUCUGUGUGUGUGCCUGCUCAUGUGUAUACAUGAGUGUGUGUUUCUUUCCAGAGAACAACACAGAUUAAAUGAAAGAAAAAUCAAUUUGCUCAUUUUACUGUAAACCAAUCCUCACUCUCUGACUCCCUGAACCCCACCGUUGCCUCUAACAGCUUUUACUUAAGUUUCUGCCCCAUGAGUCUCUAGUUUUAUGCAAUAUAUUUUCCUUUAAAUCUUGAGACAAUAAAAAUGUCUCAAGAUUUUCCAAAUUAUGUGUUGCAGUACAAGGAUUACAGUGGAAUUUAGGACUUGAAAACUUUGCUGUUUAGCAAAGUUUUAAAUAAAUGAAAAAAGUAACGAUAAGCAUUAAAUUCUACAUGUGUAUAUAUUUAAUAUUUGUGAAUUGAACAUUGUACCCAACCAAAAUUCAGAGAUAAGGAAGGCAUCUUAAAUGUAACAUCAUAUUUACACAUGCUUCUGCCAUUCUGAGAAUUACAAUAUUCUUUUACUUAAGAAAACCAAACUCCCAACAUGGUUCCUUGAAUCUCUCAUCAGAAGGGAUUAGCAUACAAGUUUUCUUGACCUGAAAAGUAACCUUUAGCUGACAAAUGCUUGUAAGGAAAUGAAAAACAGCGGUGUUUCUACUCUUAUCCAUCUUUUUCUGAUCUCUUGUGAUGUAAAAAUAUUUCCACCUUCAAAAAACUAUUGUUUUACAUCUGCAUAUGUUAAGGAAAGCUUUAAAUAAUUAAGGUGUUUCCUGAAGUGAGCAUACAUAUAAAUUUAAAAUUUAAGGCUAAGGAAUAAAGCAUUCUCUUUGAAUUAAACUGACUUGCUGACAUGAUUCAUUAAAUCCUUAAAAAUAAUUCAAACUUCAAGAAUAUAUACUAAUGANNNNNUCCUACAUAGCUCGCAAAUUAAUUUGGAAAGUCUACAAAGAAAUAGCUAUCAAUAUAGAGAUACUGAUAAGGCAUGCAGGUUCAUGCUUUUACUCUAAAAAGUUGAUUAACACUUGAAAUAUAUAUGAUUGUAUAUAUUUUGAGUAUAUAAUUAGGAACCGCACAAAGCCAAUGAUUUUACACAGGUAGAUUUUCCAUUGUUCUAAAUUUACCCUUAAAUUCCCCAAGACAUACAUUUAUUGAAACAAUUGUUACCAAAAGAAGCAUAGAAUAUAAACAUUAGAGAUGGCUUACUCGAAAAUACUUGUUUCAUGCAGUUUUGUUACCUUUCAUUUGGCUUAAUGACUCCAGCCAAAUGAAGUCAGCCUCAUCAAUGGUUCAAAGUGUAACUGAAAAGUGUCAAGAAGUUAGAAAUUCCAUGAAGAUACUUACUAUAUAUUUAUUCCCUUAUUCCCUAAGUAAUCCUUUUCCCAGAAAAAAAGACUCUUCUUUUUGCAUAGAUAUAAAUUAUUCAUAUUUAAUUUGAUUAAGAUAUGACAAUAUUUAUGAAUCUGAAGAUACUAAAUUGAUUCUAAAAAUUAGAUUUUAAAGAGAUUUUUGAACUCCUUAGUCAAAAAUUAAGAUAAUGAUGUACAGAGAUGUGGGUUAUAUGAGUUCCCUAGAUCAAGCAAUUUGUAUUUAAAAUAAGAAUAGAAGAUAUCUUUUUCUUCCAGUAAAAAAAGAUAUUUAUUAAAUGCUAGCUUUUUAAUAUGACACUAGCUAGGCAUUAAUAUGCCCAUUUUUGUAACUGAAGUGACUAAAGCUCAGGUAACUGUCCAAAAAUUAUAUGGUUAGUGAACAGGAAAAGAACAGUUUUGAAUUUAGGCUUGCUGAACUCUGAAGACUGUAUUUCUUCCACUAGAUUAGAUUUCCUCCUACUUCUGAUAUUUUUCUGUGAGACUAUAGGCAAUUUUGAAAAUAUCCAGUCUAUGAUUUAUUAAAUAGCAAAUACAAACUGAUUUAUGAUUAAUGCAUUAUAGACUAG